CUAAAAUGCUUUUAAUAGAUCUUAAAUACUCCAUGUUAGCAUUUAUGCUUUUACAGUAUUUCCAGCUUCUUGCCUAUGCUUUCUUUAGGAUUUUACAUCCUCUUCGUGGUUGAAUGGAGCUAGAUAACUAGGUCUGACUAGUAAGGUGGAAGUGUUGUGUGUCCCUUCUGGGCUGGAGAAUUUAAUUCCUAGUUUGGGAUGCUCCAUGCUCUCCCUCAGCUCUGACACAACUGCUGGCAGUGUUCCCCAAAGUGCCACCUUAACAGCCUUCUCAUUUGCCUCUGGUGUAACAUGAAUGAAUGAUAAACCUCUCUUGGUUUAAGGGGCUGAGAUUAAGGAGUUAACAAACCCUGGCCUCUUCUUACACAGCCUAAUUCAGAGAUGAAUGGGUCAGGUGUAGAGCUGUGCAUAAGUUUGUUGCCUAGAUAAGAUGCGGUUAUUAGUAUUUCUUAACACUCUUUGCAUUGUUCUCAGGACUCUCCCUCAAGAGCCAGGCUGUUUUUGUUGUUGUGGGUUGGUUUUUGUUUUUGUUUUUAAUAAUAAUAAGACAGAAGGUCUUUAAACAAAAAUUGUCAUAAAUUCUGCUUUACCUGUCUUUACAGUAUACCAGGAUUCAGAACAUCUCAGCAUGGGCCAGAAUAUUUAUUUCUAAUUCCUAGCGUUGCCCUUAAUGCCCAUAAACAUGAGACACAAAAACUUACCUGUUUUGUCUCUGGUACACAGAAAUUUUUUUAUCCUCGGGACAAUAAAUCAUGAUUAGUAUGAGUAAGAGGUAGGCCUUUUGCAGCCUGGGUGAAGGGUGAGUGGGAAAGAGUAGGUAGAAAAGCAGAACUGGCUUCAAACAUUUACAGUGAGUGUGUUCUGAGGCACACAGUAUAGUGUUCUCUUUUAAAAAUAUGGACGUCUUUAGAAGUGUUAUUGGGACAAAUGGGUUUUAUAAGACUCCAAAGACUUUAUAAAAUUUGCAAUGGCAUACAAAGCACUCAGACUGAACCCUGGGAGAUGUUAGAUAGAGUUUGAGGUGCAAGAUGUUUAUUAAGGAUGAAUCCCUAUAAAAGGAAGAAUGAAGAGGAUAACAAAACUCACCCUUUAGAACAGGAACAUGGCAGAGGAAGAGAAACUAAGUUAAAGAUUACUCACCCGUUUGCGCACCAGCUGGCACUGUAAGAGACCGAAGAACAGAGGCAUAAGUAGGUCAGUGGCAGAUGACAAGGAAAGGAAUCGAGAAGACAAAACUAAUGUGGACAUAGAGGGACCAGCUUAGGUCUCUUGAAGCUCUCUCUACUCUCUCUCCAAAUCAGGACCCACGGAACCCAAAGGGCCACCAGGUCACUGAGGCCCGUGUUGGACCUGGGUCGGCCGCUGGGCCACGUCUCACCCCGGAGCGAGGGCAGCCACGGGAAGGUCGCCGGAGGGGAGCCGCCGCGGGGCCCGGCAGACACCCCCAGUGGCCGGGGCAGCAUCGGCGGCCCGAGGAAGGCACAGGCUGGUGGACGCCAGGGGAGCUGCGGCCAGAGGCCCCUCGCUCGCGCAGCCGCACCGCACACCCGCAACCGAGUCGUUCGCGCGACCGGCCACCGCGGUCCGUGCUCCUCCCGCCGGCCCAUCCAGGUUCCGGGGAAGGACUCCGCGUGCCCGGCGAUGCGCCUCAACAGGUGUGGGCCCGAAGAAGAAGAGUAUACUUGUGAAAGGAAGAGGAACUAAAGACUCCGGGAACCGUGGACCCGGGUUUGUUCUCUAGCUCUUGGGCGCUCCUUGGAAAGGAUUCCGAUUAGAGGGUAGUAGGGGCGUGACUGCGUUAGACACUGCGGGUGAUUAACUUUCAUCUAAGAAUAGCUUAAAAUUUAAGUUUUUUAAGCCUAUUUUCAAGUCAACAACAUUUUUGCUUUUUAAUAAUUUAUUCAUGUCCAACGGCUUUCUUAUUCUGGCAUUAUGUCUUUCUAUAUUUUACUGUAAACUGAUGGUGAUUUUUUUUUAAGUCCUUACCAGGCAAGAAUGUGUUGAAAUCAUCUGGAUUGUUACUAUUUUAACUUGUUUGGGAAUCCCUGUAUUUGUUGGAUAAACAUUGUAAUGUGAUACAUAAUUUCUCAUUUUUUAAGAUUUUUCUCUAAACAGGAGUCAGGCUGUAGAGAAAACAAUCUAGAGGCUUUGAUCUUAUUAUAAAAAAGGAAAAUGAUACACUACUUAGGUGAGGAGGCACACUGCAAAGACUCAUCAGGUACCAGGGAUUGACCUAGAUGAUCAACUUGAAAACAAUACCAUAGUAAAGCUAUUAGACUUUAAAGGUAAAGAAAACAUCUUCAGGUUCUCCAGGUAAAACUAUGAAAUAGGUUACAAACUCAACAGAAUUAGAUGACUGCUAACACAGAAAGCAAGGCAACAGUGAAACAGCAUUUUCAAGAAACUUACAUAAAGAAAGUACAAAUCACAGAUAUUAUAUCCAGCCAACCUCCUUUUCAGUGAUCAAGUAUAGGAGAAUGACUCUGCUAUGGCACUCCGGUGACCUUGUACUUCUCCACAUGGGCCACAAAGGCAAGGUUCAACUGUUGUUUGACCCAAUUCUUGGCUGAAUAUCCCCGUGGAACAUGUAAAGAUAGGCAGUCUUGUGAGUUGCUAUUGUAUGGAUAUUGUAUGGAUUAAUCUCUUGCUGUAGACUGCCUGUCCUGCCUGGGGCAGGCUACAAAUAGACGCUCUCUCACCUGUCUUCCUGGUUUUGGUGAGACUUGGAAAUCUCCACCUUAUCUCUACCCUGCAGGUUGUGACUACAAGCUAUCAAAUGACUUGGCAGCAAAAUGAAAUUGGCUCCUUCAUGACAGAGCAAGCCACCACUUGUGUUUUCUUGUCAUCUGAUCCCUCCAGUGUGGUGUCAUGCUAUAGGAUUACAGAUGUGGGCAGGUGACAUGAUACACUCGCUUAUGCUGUAUAUAUAAGUAAUAACUACUUCAGUUCAUUUGAGAUUGUCUCCUUACUAGAAAGGCACACCUAGCAGCUAGUACUAUACUACUGCCUAGGGACCACUAUACUGCUUGACAAAGGUGGUACUCAAUGUGGGGCUGGUAAGGUCACAGUGCUUUCUCAGAGACAAGACAGCAGGGAGUGCAUGGGCCAGGUUAGGGAAUAUGAGAAGGUUUCUCAGGAUGAUCUCCCCUAAGUGGUGGUUAUGAGCCAGGGGAGUAAGGGCCUUUUGACUGUCUAUGUGUUCAUGGACAACUGGAGGUUCAGUAGUGACAAGGAAGGAUGGAAAGCAGCCACCUAAAUGGUGCUUUAGUUGUUACUAAAAGUUCACUGAGACUGAGUGGAUGACCUCUUAAAACCAAAAACAACUACAUGGCUGUGCUUACUGUAGGGGUGCUGCUCCAUCCACAGCCCCCAUCCCUCUCGUCCCCUUAUCCUGACCUCAGAAUAUAAGUAGAUUCCCCACUGCUCCAAUGGGCCUCACAGUCUAGUCACACCUCCUUGCUCUCCCUGAGCCCUUUGUCAAGGAGAUAAAAUGGUCUCCCGGCUGCUGUGUAACCUGUAAGUGUUCAAACACAAGUGCUCAACUCCUUGGUCUGUGUUCCUGUAAGAGAGUAUAAAUUCUACUGACAGAUUGUGGGUAAAACUUGUGGUAAAGAGAAAGGGAAGCUAAAGUUAAGAGAAAGGCUUCUGUGCCAAAUUAAUGUACGGUUGUGAAAAUGUGUAAUUGAAAUCAAUGAGUUGAAUACUUAUACUAUGAAUGCUCUUAAAGUAUUAGAGGAGAUUAAGAGAUUCUUCUGUUCAGGGCACUGUCACGUGUAAGGUGCUAAUGGGACAAACUCCCCUAUCAGUUGCCACCAACAGAUGGCUCAAAAUUUAGCCUGAGUGAAAAAUAAAUAAAUAAAUUUAGCCUGUGAGUGCCUAAACCCUCUGAUGUCCAAAGUCCGACUGUAUAAAUAAUGUCCUAUUGAUUGGCAAGUCAAAAGUUUUAAUCUCAACAGCUCUGCCUGCAGUGUUAACAGAUCUCUACCAGCAAGAGUGACUGAUAAACCUCACCAGUUUUCAGGAGCUUGCUUGCCAAGUAAAGUUUCUUGGGACUAUGUAGAUAAAUCCUUCUGGCAAUGCUCAAUCCUUCUGGCAGCCAAAAGGAAACAAACAAACAAAAAACCUGUUUUUUCUCACAAAGAACUCUAUAUUUCUGAUACAGAAGCUACCACUGCAUGCUAACCUUGUAAGUCCUGCCAAAGUUUGACCUGUUUGUUUUACAACAAAAAUUGUUCUUCCACUGUCUUAUGGCCUCCAUACUUUUCGAUGAAAAAUCUACACUAUGGUUUAAAGUUUGAAAAGUACAGAAAUAACAUUAAAGUAAUAAUCUCCAUUGCCUCCAAACUGAACUGUCCAAAAUAAACAGUGUUUAAAAUACAGUGAGUAUAAUUUCAAAAAUGGUGGAAUUAGAGCACUAACUGGUGGUGUUUGGCCAGAGGACCGAAGAAUUCCCAAAUCUCAUUCUGUCAAUAACCUAGGUUCCCUGGUGGGUGCCAGGGUUCCUGAGGGAGAUAUACACACCAAGAAAAGUGGCAACAUGUAUAUAAUCACAAUUUGUUAUUGGUAGGGCUUGUGUCACAGUAGAGGGAAGCCUAGGAAACCGGUCAGUUAAAGGUCUUAGAGGGUUUUCCUUCUGUCUAAGCACAAAACCACCUUAACUAAACUUCCCCAAAUGAAUCCAAUGGUACAAGUUCUUUGAACGGAGAGUGCCAGGAAAAAAAGGCAGAUAGAUGCAGGAUUAGAAGCUCUCCUUGUCACCAGCCAGGCUGACAGUUUUGAUGGUCAGGGAGGAAAGGGGCAGCAGAACCCACACCCUUUCGUAUGAUGUUUUAUUAUAGUGUGUCCUCAACCAUUAGAAAAGGAAGCUCAGUAUCUAUCCUGGUAUGUGAAGGAUGAGAAAAGUGUUUGCUCCUCCACUGGAAAUUAAGGGUUGGGAAGGAGGAAAAAAAUUUCUACACGAAUAUUUCCCUUUGCUUUUCUGAUCUCGUUCCAAAUAACAAUAAGAGAGAUAGAUUAGGUAAGUCCUUCAAAAAGCCAUUUUCCCCCAUGGUCAUUCCUGUGUAUCAUACUGGGUCAGGAAAUGGGCAACAACUGACCAAGGGAGGCCAUUUUACUAUUAUAGCAUAGCCCUCUAAAGUAUGUGAGAACACGGCAUAAAUUCAGUUAAUCUCAGGGCUACACUAAGAGGUUACAACACCUUCCUACUAUACUUCAUUUUUGGAAACAUAAAUAGCUGCAGUACGGUAUGUAUUACUGUGUCGCUGAACACAGCUCAUCAGGUAAUGUUAUACAGUGUGCAACACAUGACAGCAUAAGCCAACUAUAUCAGUGUGGAUAAUGUAAGAUGUGAAAUUUUAUUAUUAAAUCUUACUAUUUUUAUUGUUUAUUAUAUUAUUAACUUCUUAUUAUCACUGAAUUUCCUUUAGAAAGAAAUAAAAAUAUAGAAAAAUUACUGAUCCAAUAAAGCAAAUUCCCUCCACUAAUGUUCUCAUCAAAACAGAUCAAGUGGAGGCCCCUGGUUGGCUCAGCCAGAAGAGUAAGUGACUCUUGAUCUCCGGGUCCUCAGUUUGAGCCCUACAC